AAAAACAGAAUAUUGCUCUCAUAUAAUCCUGAUAAUAUGGUUCAGGAGUUUCUACAGGAUAACCUAAAAUUAUCCUACUAUGGGUGAGGAUAAA
rnacentral:ncRNA from 1 species